rnacentral:misc_RNA from 1 species
UACGGAGGGUGCGAGCGUUAAUCGGAUUUACUGGGCGUAAAGCGCACGUAGGCGGCUUGUUAAGCCAGAUGUGAAAGCCCAGGGCUUAACCUUGGAAUUGCAUUUUGUACUGGCAAGCUAGAGUAUUGGAGAGGGUGGUAGAAUUUCCAGUGUAGCGGUGAAAUGCGUAGAUAUUGGAAGGAAUACCAGUGGCGAAGGCGGCCACCUGGUCAAAAACUGACGCUGAGGAGCGAAAGCGUGGGGAGCAAACAGG